CCCUUAGAUGUUCUGGGCUGCACGCGCGCUACACUGAAGCUAUCAACACGUUUUCCCUCCCUGAGAAGGGCGGGUAACCCUUUGAAUCAGCUUCGUGGUAGGGAUCGGGGCUUGCAAUUGUUCCCCGUGAACCAGGAAUUCCUAGUAGACGCGAGUCAUAAGCUCGCAUCGAUUAAGUCCCUGCCCUUUGUACACACCGCCCGUCGCUACUACCGAUUGAACGUUUUAGUGAGGCAUUUGGACCGACGCAUCUCAGUUUAACCGCUGGUUUGUGUUGGAAAGACUUCCAAACUUGAGCGUUUAGAGGAAGUAAAAGUCGUAACA
rnacentral:rRNA from 1 species